rnacentral:lncRNA from 1 species
ACAGACACGAGAUAGGCAGCUCAGACUAGAUUAUUUAAUGUAAAGCAUCCUUUAAUAGCUGGUCAGCCAGGACUGACCUCCACUAGACAGGCUAGAAGAGACCAGCCCCGAACCUGUAGCAAGGUGCACUUUUAAGCGCCUUUACCACAUCCUAGUACAGCCUUGCGAUUACAGAUUUCUGUUGGAAUCCUUACAAAGUGUUAACUCAUUAAAGUUGAUAGAGACAAUAAUUAUCUAAUUUAGCAUGGUUCAGUAUGAUUGAUCUGAUCUUACAAGGAGAUGUUAUGGGCCAGAUCUUGAAAGGAGGUACUAAGUGGAACUGAUAGAAACAAUGCUUGUGUUCACACUUUUAAAGAGCUCAUAUAAGCAAGUAGCUCUUAGGGCCAGAGGCACUCUGGGACAGACACAGCAGCACUACAGGACAGACACAGGAGGACUCUGGGAGGAAGCCCACAAGCCCACUCUCAGAGGUGGAGUCAGAUUCAUUCACUUCAUCUCACACCACUGUGGUGACUGGCCUCCUGAACUUCCCCUACUGAGACCAAGGCUGGUCUGAAAGGCUCUCCAGAAAGCUGCCCGGCCCCAGGCAAGGAGACAAGAGAUUCAUUCCAUCUUCCACCUUUGUGCUGGCUGGAGGCUGAAGAAUAUACCUUUGGAUUUGGAGACAUUCGGAGGGAGCUCUUGGAACCAAGCAGAGAGAUAGGCCACCAAGAAAACUAACCGGGCUAUUUUGGAGGAAACAAUAAAAGAUCUGAACUUUUAACACCUAGCUGCAUUUGGAGUGAUUAUUACUCUGAACCAAAACUAAGGCUGCCUUCAGAAAACCUCCCCAAGAAACCUGCUUCCACAGAGAAUUAUUAUAUUUUAAAGAAGAGAACACCACAUUUUGGUGCCCUGAAUGUGGGACUGACAGACCCCUCAGUGGAUUUCAGUGGAAAAGCUCCAAUCCUGAUCUCAGUGGAAAAGUCUCCUCAACCCAGAAAUUAGGACAGAGAAGGACACAUAUGGAGAAGGAAUCAGAUGGGUGUCGAGCUGUAUUCGCCUUGUCCAUCAGAAAGAAAAAGAGAAAAAACCUCAAAACAAAAGAGAAGAUUUAAGAAACAUCUGACACUGAAAGAGCAUGGCUGACAAUGAGACUGUUAAAAGAACUUUAAAACUUUCAGGAAUCACUGGAUUCCCUAACACAAGAUGAACAAAACCCAGCAGGAAUCAUUGGAUUCCUUGAGAUGAAAAAUUGUUGAUGAGACUAUUGUAGUACUUCAGAGCUUACAGGAACUAUUGGAUUCCUGGCACAUGAACUAAUGGACAAUGGAUUCCUUUUGGACUAUUUUUAGGACUUAUGGACAUGUAUAAAUUCUCAUGUUGAUUCAUGUUAUUUGUUACAUUACUAUUAGCCUGUGUUAUAUUGCUAUGUGCUUAUGUAAUUAUGUGUAAUGCCUCCCAUAUUGAUGGAUUUAUGUAUACUGUUUCAAGUGAGCCCCUUCAGAAACCCGCUAAUCUGAUCUGACUUCCUAUUUCCUUUGGUUUCUCGUUUACAAUGGGGAUAUGUCUGGAUGUGAGUGAGCACACAAAGGAACCUGUCGACAUGUUUUGCCAUGUUGUCCUGACUCGGUUAGGCACACACUUCUCAGAAAGUCUGGGACUUCAACUGCUUCUCGGAAAGUCUAGGAUCUCAUGAACAGGGGGAUGGGGCCCAGUCUGAACAUAACACUUUCCUUAAUUUAGUUUGAGCAACAUGUGCCUAUAAGCCUGAGGCCCCUUGACCCAGGGAUGAGGGGGCCAGUCUUUUGUCCAUUUCAUUGUUCUUUUACUCUGAGUCACCACUCCCUCUGGACUCAGUUUCCUGAACUGCUAAAUUACUCUUACUGCUUCAAAUAGCCCCAGCAUGGAGUUGAUAAAAGUUUGACUCAACACCUAUGUUACAAGUAAUCAUAGAGAGUAUUAUAGUAAAUGUUAACAAGCAAACUCAGUUGUUUUGUAGCUAUAUCCCCAUACCACUAUUAACAAGUACCAUCAUACACCAUCCACCACUUACUUCCCAUUGGUUAAACAUGGAAAAUUUCCUGGUAAAGCUUUGGAGCCCUGAAUAAGACAGGUGCUUUCUAUUAACCACAGAGCAAACAAUCAGGAAAUCAACAGUAAUCAAAAGGGAAAAAAAAGAAGUGUGGGCUGGAAUGGAUAGAUAAUAUAUAUCAGUUCAUCAGAUAAAGAUAGAAGUAAAAUACCUACAAGUUAUGAUAAAAACAUAGGAGAGACAUAAUUCUGGGCAAAGAGCAACGAAUUUAUUUUUUUUUAAUUUAUUUUAAGUUUGGGGUUUCAAAUUCUAUCCUUUCUUCCCUCUCUCUUUUCUGCCCCCCCCAGUAAGCAAUAAGAUUUAGAUUAAACAUGUACAAUCACGUAAAAUAUUUCUGUAUUAGUCAUUUUGUAAAAAAAAAAAAAAAAAAAUCAAAUAAAAGAAAAAGUGAAAGAAAAUGAAAAAAAUAACAUGCUUCAGUCUGUAUUUAAUCAAUAUCAUUUCUUUGGAGGCAGAUGGCAUGCAUCAUUCAUUUUUUGGAAUCAACUUCCAUUAUGUUGCAUUGUCAUUCUCAGAUCUUUAUUGAGCAACAUUAUGUUUCUGUGUACAACAUUCUGAUUUUGUUUACUUUAC